UGUCUUUUUGAGAAUAAUAUAAGGUCUAAUCUGCCCACUGAUUUAGAUUGAAGGGCUGCAGUAUAUUGACUGUACAAAGGUAGCAUAAUCAUUAGUCAUUUAAUUGAUGACUUGUAUGAAGGAUUGGAUGAAAUAUAAACUGUCUCUUUAUUAAUAAUAGAAUUUAAUUUUUUAAUUAAAAAGUUAAAAUAUUUUAAAAAGACGAGAAGACCCUAUAGAGUUUUAUAAAUAAAAUAAUUAAGAUUAUUUAAUUAAAUAAAAUUAGGAUUAUAUUAUUUAUUUUGUUGGGGUGACAGAAAAAUAUAUUUAACUUUUUUUUUAUUUAAAACAUUUAUAAGUGGUUAAAUGAUCCAAUAUUAUUGAUUAUAAGAAAAAAUUACCUUAGGGAUAACAGCGUAAUUUUUUUUUUUAGUUCAAAUAAGAAAAAGAGUUUGCGACCUCGAUGUUGGAUUAAGAUAAAAUUUAAAUGCAGAAG
rnacentral:rRNA from 1 species